GCAUGAUUUGGGGGUAAAUGCGGGAUUUUCAGAGAAAAGGGGAUAUUUUCGGGUUACAUGGGGGGAUUUUGAAGGGAAAAUGUGUGAUUUUCAUUUAAAUCGCGGCAUCUCUAAGAGAAAAUGCCUGAUGUUUGCAUUAAAUGUGUGAUUUUCAGGUUACAUGGGAGAUUUUUGAAGAGAAAAUACAUGAUUUUCGGGAUAAAUGGGGGAUUCUGGAAGAGAAAUUGCAUUUUCUUCUGGUUAAAUGGGGGAUUGUCGAAGAGAAAAUGCACGAUUUUCGUUUACAGGUGAGAUAUUUGUAGAGGAAAUGCGUGAUUUUUUGGAUACAUGGGGGAUUCCUGUAGCAAAACUGUUUGAUUUUGGGGUCCAAUGGGGGAUUUUUGAAGAGCAAAAGUGUGAUUUUCGAGUUAAAUGGGGGAUUUUCCAAGAGAAAAUGCGUGAUGUUGGGGAUGAUGGGGUAUUUUUGAAGAGAUAAAGCAUGAUUUUGGAGUAAAUGCGUACUUUCCGAGAGAAAAGGCGAGAUUUUGGGGUUAAAAGGGGGAUUGUUG
ensembl:lncRNA